UACGUAGGUGGCGAGCGUUGUCCGGAUUUACUGGGCGUAAAGAGCGCGCAGGCGGUCGUUCAAGUCGCGUGUGAAAGCCCCCGGCUCAACUGGGGAGGGUCACGCGAUACUGAUCGACUCGAAGGCAGGAGAGGGAAGUGGAAUUCCCGGUGUAGUGGUGAAAUGCGUAGAUAUCGGGAGGAACACCAGUGGCGAAGGCGACUUCCUGGCCUGUUCUUGACGCUGAGGCGCGAAAGCUAGGGAGCAACGGG
rnacentral:rRNA from 1 species